UACGUAGGGUGCAAGCGUUGUCCGGAAUUAUUGGGCGUAAAGAGCUCGUAGGCGGUCUGUCGCGUCUGCUGUGAAACUCAGGGCUUAACCCUGAGCUUGCAGUGGGUACGGGCAGACUAGAGUGCGGUAGGGGAGACUGGAAUUCCUGGUGUAGCGGUGAAAUGCGCAGAUAUCAGGAGGAACACCGGUGGCGGAAGGCGGGUCUCUGGGCCGAGUGACUGACGCUGGAGGAGCGAAAGCGUGGGGAGCGAACAGG
rnacentral:rRNA from 1 species